rnacentral:lncRNA from 1 species
ACAAGUUAAGGAUGGGUUUUAAAGACUUGGGAAAACCCCCAAAAGAUCAGUAUUGUCUUAAACACCGUAAGUCUUCUAACUACAGAGAUUCAAUUUGGAUACUUGUUAUGCCAUGACCUUGAAACCUCACCCCUAAAUAAGUCUUUGAGUAGUUUAUCCUAGGAACCUUACUGUUUUCAUUUUUCUUAUUUAUCUUCCUUUUUU